rnacentral:rRNA from 1 species
UACGAAGGGGGCUAGCGUUGUUCGGAAUUACUGGGCGUAAAGAGCGCGCAGGCGGUCCUUUAAGUCGAGUGUGAAAGCCUCCGGCUCAACUGGGGAGGGUCACUCGAUACUGAUCGACUUGAAGGCAGGAGAGGGAAGCGGAAUUCCCGGUGUAGUGGUGAAAUGCGUAGAUAUCGGGAGGAACACCAGUGGCGAAGGCGGCUUCCUGGCCUGUUCUUGACGCUGAGGCGCGAAAGCUAGGGGAGCAAACGGG